rnacentral:lncRNA from 1 species
AGACUUUUUCCAAAAAACAAAAUGAGAUCCUCCUCCCUCAAACUAACCCUAGCCGGUGCACCCCUCUCUGCUCUCUUCUUCUUUCUUAUCUUCUAACCCCAUACUCAUACGCUGGGCUACACACCUAAAUGCAUCUGAAAACAAAUUUGAAAUUUCAAAAAAUCCCUUAUUAGAUCUGCAAUUUUCAGUUUCAAAAUUGAGAGGAAAAACACAAAAAAUGAGUAAAGUUUCAGCUGACCUUUUUUUUUACUCAAAAUAAUUAGUCGUAGUGGUUGAUUCAAGAGGUCUUCAAUACUAUUUUUCUGGUUUUUCGAAAGCUGGAUUUCAAAGAAGAUUAAAAAGGGUAUUGAUUACUAAAGUUUGCACAAGCCGUCAAAGCUCAAAUUCAUGGCUGUUGUUGUUGAUUUGGUUGUUUCAAAAGGCUGCUAAACUCUAGUUUUUUUUCACGGCAUUUAGGUAUGUUCAUGUUCAUUUGUACAUUUCUAUACAACCUUAUAUUUGAUCUUUCACACUACGUGUGCGUUUAAUCAUCUGAAAUUCAGCAUAUUAGAUCAAUAAAGCUGCCUCCAUCCCUUGUUCAUUCUGUGAUGUUAUCUAUGUGCAAUUAAAAAUCCCAAUGUUAAUCACUUGCAUAAACAGCCAAUCUCCGAAAUAUUUGUUUGCUUUAUUUUACAAUAAAAUAAUAAUAAUAAUAAUAAUAAUAAUAAUGACUUGAUUUACAGUAAUUAGUUUCAUUUCUUCAUGAAAUAUCUGUUUAAAUUGUGCAUCAAUUUGAUUUACACUAGGUUUGCCAAAAAUCGUUUUAGUUGGUAUCCUGUUGUCUGAAUCUCCUAUUUUAAUUCUUAUUUCAUGAGCAUGAGAUAUAAGUCUAAAAAUCUUUUAGUUCUUGUUUGAUAGCUAAAAAAUAAGAAGCAGUGAGCCAUUAUUUUUCCAUGGAACCUUUGUUCAUUAGUUAUGCCAAUUUGGCCAUUUGGUUUGUCUUGUAAAAAUCAGAAACUAAAUUGGAUGUGCAAUAAUUUAGUUUGUGAGUUUAGGCCAAAUUAGAUACAUAUCUGCCAAAAGCCAAAAAAAGAAGAAGAGAAACAACAACGUUCCUAUUCAUUCGUGUGCCGACCCAAUUUUUCUCAAACACACGAAGCUAGUUUACUCUUCUAGAAUUAAUUCACUUUAUUUCCUCCAUAAUAAUUCCAUAACUUGCAAACCUUUACAAUUAAUAUCAAAUGUAGGAAACCAACUUAUGAAUAUUGUAGUUUGCUUUAGGGGCGAUUACUAAAUAAUAAAUUAUCGUGACUAUGAGUAUGGUUUCCGUGCUAUGGUUGCGAUACGUAAAUCCAAAUUCGGGUGUACAUUUCAUGUGACCCGACCACAACUUCGAACAAUAAUAAAAUUCACAUGUUGUAGAUCGUGUGUAUGAUAACCGUGGUACGAUUCACAACGUGUACAAAAACAAACAAGUGUAAGACUAUCGUGACUCAUUCCAGAAAUAAUUUCAUAAAUAAAUAAAAGUGGUUAUAAAAUUAAAAGUGCACAAUAGGUUUAAAACAUGUAAUAAAUCAGAUAAUUAGUCCAAUUAUUAAUAGUUGAGCGAUCGUGCUAAAAUCACAGAACUCAGGAGUGCCUCACACCUUCUCUCGGAUUAACAGAAUUACUUACCCGGUCUUCUGUGUUCGUAGACCAUAGUUAAGAGUCAAAUUUUCUCGAUUUGGGAUUUACAAUAAAUCGGUGACUUGGGACACCAUAAAUUAUUCCAAGUGGCGACUCUGAAAUAAAUAAGUAAUUCCAACUCGAUUAAUGUCACUUAAAUUGGAAAAACUCUCUAUCCCUAUCCCCAUCGGGUAAAAAGGAGGUGUGAAGUAACGACUGGUUUUAAUGAUAAGGCUUUAAGGAGAAUAUUCAGUGAAUAUUCCUCUAAUCGGUACUAUUAGAAUAUUUGUGGCCAAUGUGCCCCUAUAAAUAAAAAGAUAGGUAGCUACAAAGGGGAAGGAGACACUCAUCGUAAAGAACAACAUAUUGGCAUUCCCUAGAUUCUUUCAUUAUUACAUACAUACAAAAUACACCUUUUCCUCAAAUCUUUGUCUAACUUUUCCCCCAUGAUCUAAGGAGAUCCCGAAUAUUCAAAGGUUCAUCAAUCAUUCAUCAUUGUUAGGUGUAACGACCCGACUGGUCGCGCAAUUCUGGAUGAUAGAGAUUGGGUUCUAAGGUUUAAGGACAAGGGUUGAAGUAAGGAUCUCUAGUUAUGUUGUGUUGGCAGGCUUAUAUGGAGCAGGGUGACGUGGAAUCACCCCGGGUUUAUGCUUAGUAAGGUUACACCAUGAUUUGAUAGCUUUGGAACGACUCCUGGCACGUUCGAGGACGAACAUAUGUUUAAGUGGUGAAGGAUGUAACGACCCGACUGGUCGUUUUGAGAAUUUACACAUCAUUCGGUAGUUUACGAGCAUGAGUAGCUCCGUAUAAUGUAUUUGACUUACGUGAAUCGUCGGUUUUGGUUUUCAGGUUAUUCGGGAUUAAUUUGGAAGAAUGAUUCUCAACUAGGGAGCUUUAAAUUUGAAAGAGUUGACCGAGUUUGACUUUUUUGUAUUUGACGUCGGAUUGAAAUUUUGAUAGUUUUGUUAGCUCCGUUGGGUGAUUUUGGAAUUAGGAGCGCGUCCGGAUUGUGAUUUGGAGUUCCGUAGUUGAAUUUGGCUCGAAAUGGCGAAAGUUGGACUUUUUGGAAAGUUUGACCGAGAGUGCACUUUUUGAUAUCGUGGUCAAAUUUCAAUUUCGAAAGUUGGAGAAGGCCCGUAAUGUCAAAUGUGACUUGUGUGCAAAAUUUGAGGGCAAUCAAAUGUGAUUUGAUAGGUUUCGGCAUCAGUUGUGGAAGUUUGAAGUUUCAAGUUCAUUGAUUUUUGGAUUGAGGUGUGAUUCGUCGUUUCGAUGUCGUUAUGUGUGUUUUGAGGCCUCGAGUAAGUCCAUGUUAUGUUAUGGAACUUUUUGAUAUGUUUGGAUGUGGUCCCGAGGGGUUUGAGUGAGUUUCGGAUAGGUUUGGGUUGUGUUGCGCUCGUUUUUUUAUGUUUCGACGUUGUUUCUUUAAGCAUAAAUGGUAUUACAUUAAGCAAAUGAGCUUCAAUUUAUAUUUUUAUUGAAGUAUUAGAUCUUUAUCGUAAUUAAGGAGCCACAGAAAAAAGAUCGUCGAAUUUGGACAUUUGGAUGGGAGUUUAUGGUUAUUUACUAAGAAUAGGGUUGCCAGAUUUUUCAGAUUAAUUACGAAAUUGCCACUGAUUUCGUUUUUAAAAUUCUGCACUAUUUCCAAAUAUUGAAACCAACAUAUCUCCUUCAAUAUAUGGUCAAAUGGAGUGACUCAAAAGCUUAACUAGACUAGAAUUUCACAAGGAAUCCAUUGGAGGCAUCAAGAAACGAGGCAAAACAUUAUUAAAACAAGGGUUUUGUUCAUUUAAUAUAUUUUGAGUUGGGGAGCUCGGAAUUGGGAAAUUUUUGAGGUGAUUUUCACCAUAUGAUUUGGGAUAAGUGUUCUCUACUCAGUUUUGGUUAUACUCCAUGAAUCUAUCUUCGAUUUUAGCUUUUGGUUGAUGAAUUUUAAAGAGGAAAUUGGAGGUUUUGGCCUAAAGUUUCAUAAUAUGUAUUUUUGAGUUUUGAACAUCGAUUUGGAGUUGGAAUUGAGUGAAACUAGUAUGGUUGGACUCAAAAUUGAAUGGGUUAUCAGAUAUUAUGAGUUUUGUCGGGUUCCGAGGCGCGGGCCUGGGUGCGAUUUUUUGCCGAAUUUGGGAUGUGAUUUAAGAUUCGAUCUCUAUCAUUUGGAAUUGUUUCCUUGGGCUUUAUUUGAAGUAUUUGAGUUUCUUUUGGCUAGUUUUUAGCCGUUCGAAGGUCAGUAUGCGCGUGAUGGCAUUUUUGGAGCAUCGCUUGGCUUGCUCAGUAUUGUAAUCUGCUUAUUCAAGGUAAGUGUUUUGCCUAACUUUGUUGAGGAAAUUUUUCCUUCUAUUUGUCAUUGUUUGCUACAUGCAGGGGUGAUAUAUAUAUGAGGUGACGAGCGUAUAUGUAUGUGACGGGGUUAUUCAUGCUCGGGGGUAUAUUGUGCUAUAACUGUGUCUUGUAGGAUUACGUAAAUUCUUGCUACAUGCUUCACUUGAUUUACCGAUGUUAAGAACGUAGUAUAAAAUGUUAGUAAUCAAGAUUUAGCCCAAUAUAACUUGAUCGAAUUUGGUAGAAUUCUGAGAAUAUAUUGAUGUGUAUAAUUCGGUCAUCUCUAUGCGAAAUCAUUAUUACAUUACUACGGCCCAUGUUCACGAUAUACUAGACUCUUUGCUUGUGUUAUGGAUCAUUGUGAGAAUUGUGGAAGUAUUUGAAUAAUACGGUUCUCGAGGUUUGUUAAAUCAUUGUUGAUUUGGAAAGAUGUGAUUGGGAUUUCUUUGAAAUAUCUGUUAACACUUUCCUGGAUGUUAUUUGUGCUUCCUGCCUUAGCACAAAGGGUGAUGACGUGCCGUAUUAUUGAGAGUAAAAGCACGAAGGGUGAUGUCGUGCCACAUUAUUGAGAGUAAAAGCACGAAGGGUAAUGUUAUGCCAUAUCAUUUGAGAGUUAAAGCACACAGGGUGAUGAUGUUCCAUUUCAUUUAUAUUGUUAUUUUUGUAUGUUAUCGGAGGUCAUGGCACGAUGGGUGUUUCUGUGUAGGCGAGGAUGAGGAACAUGCAUUAUUUUGAUAUCAGUCUUCCGUGUAUAUGUUCUUGUCUUUACCUUGAACUCUUAUUGUCAUAAUUAUGGAUCUGAUGUGAUUUACUGCCAUUGUUCUAUCAUGAUCUCCAUCUCAAUUGUUGUUGUGUUUCUCAUACUUUCUACUUGCUUAACUUGCAAAUACAAUGCCUAUUUCCUGCUUUUAUAAUUACACUCAUGUUGUAUCUAUUCUAUUGCACCUUAGCAUAAGCCUUCCACCAUGCUAGUUAUUCAUGCCCUUACUUGUUAACUUAUAAAGAUCUUGUGUUUCCUUCUUAUUUGCUAUAUUUGUACUUAGGCCUCCACUAUGCUAGUUAAUUGAAGUUGAUACUCUUUGUUUUCCUAUUGGUUGUUAUUGCUUAUGUACUUUCUGCCUAGUCUUUUACUGUUGCCCACAUGUAUAUCCUUGUCCAUUGUUGUUACUUGCGUAUUUCCUACUUUGUAAUUCUUGUUAUGGUGUUUCUAUCAUCUGGUUGGUUUUUCUAUACAUACGUUUGGGAAGGAUGAGUUGAACACACGAAGGGUGUUGUCGUGCUAAUUGAUUUGUCAGAUAAAUUUAUUUAUAUAGUGAGGAUGAGAUAAAAGCACGAAGGGUGUUACCGUGCCAUUUGACUUGAUAUCUUGGAAAUACUUCUCAUACCAGGAAGGAUUGUAAAUAUUCCACUGUGAAUCCUGCUAGUAAUUGUUGACUGUCUCAUGGAGUUAUAUACGGUACUUUUAUCUAUUAUGUUGAAACUACAUAUACUAUUAGUCUAAUGUACAAGUUAUAGUAAUAAGCAUCGUUCAACUAAAAGCUUCGUCACUACCUCGACGAGGUUAGACAAAAUACUUGCAAGUAUAUGAGGUCGAUUGUACUAUUACUGCAAUUUUGCACGUUCCGUACAGAUUUUGGGGUAGAGCUGCUGGUGACGUCAAGUGUUGAUUCGGAAGAUGUUCGUGCGUUUGGUUAUAACUGCCACUUAUCCUUGGUAGUUUAGAUUAUUGCUAAUCUGUUUAUGUAACCUUCAAACAGAAUGUGUAUUUAUUUGUAUUAGUUUUGAAAUUCCAAAUCUUAGAAGCUCGUGAUUUGUACUACCAGGUCUUUGUAAAUUCGUAAACGCUCAAUUAUCUAUUUCCUUUUAUUUUAUAACCUCAGUUGGGUUGUGUUUUUUUGUUAGUUGGCUUACCUAGUAGGUUGAGUUAGGUGCCAUCACGACUUGUGAUUUUUGGGUCGUGAUAAGGUGGUAUCAGAGCACUAGGUUCGUAGGUUCUAUGAGUCAUGAGCAAGUGUCUAGGAGAGUCCUGCGGAUCGGUAUGAUGACGUCCAUACCUUUCUUCGGGAGGUUACAGGGCAUUUGGGAAAAAAUUUCCCUUUCUUCUUUCCUCAUCGUGUGGCCUUGUUUCAACUUGAAACCUACAACUUUGACUCUUCUGGAUCGCUCUUAUGUGAUGUUGUGCACUCAAUAUUUGCUAUGUGCUGAUGGUCGGUGAUGUUGUAGAUGGAUUACGAUGGGUUAUUGACGCUUGAUUAUCAUCGCGAUGUGUUGUCUAGCCUCAGAAGCAGAUGUAGUUGUCUAGCCUCAGAAGCAGAUGUAGUGUUAAAAUCUUCUAGUCAUUCAUUUGUGGUACAAGGCAGGUGCAUAUGUCUGGUUGGUAAGAACAGAUUUGGGAAGAUUAGCGGGUGAACAGGCUAUUGUGAUUAAGGUGGUUUCAUGGCAAGGUGUCGAUUUGAGUAAAAACCGGUGGAUUUUCUCCUACAUGAUAAGUUUGGAUCGUGUAUCUCGUAUGAGGUUUUCAUUAGAUAGAGUUCAUAUGUCAUCAUUCCAGAGCAUUUGGGGGAGUUGUUUGACUAUUACAAUGAUUGGUGAGUGUUUGGCAGAGUCUUCGGGGUGUUCUAUGACCGGCAUUUCAUGAGUUUUGAAGUAGCCAGCUAAAUAGUCAUGCAAUAUUGGGGCAUGUUGUAAAGGUAUGUUACUUUGGGUUGCCGAUGAGGUUUUUUAUGGCUUCGAGCUAAGUGGUGGAGUCUACUAAUGAUGAUCGGAUUGUAGGAUUAUGGGCUGUAUCAGUUUCCAAACUGAGAGAUUUCUAUGUUAUUUCUUUGAAUGGGCAUAAGCUGGUGAAGCACGGGUGGGCUUGAAAUGGUAGCAAAUGGUAAUCAGAUCUGCGGUAUUCCUUUUCAAGAAAGGUCUACAAGUCAAUGUUGGGGUCGUGCAAGACAUGACUUUGGGUUACCAGGAAUUUCCCUCAGGGUGAUCAUAUCGCAUUGAGUCACUUUCGGGUUGGCGGUCUGCGUGACUCGAUUGAGUUGGAGGCAACUAGUUUUGAUUGCUCGAUUAUGUGUUACUGAGUUCCGAAGAAUUUAUCAUGGUUAUGACCACGGUCGGAGUUGAUGUUUUCUACAAGUAUAGAAGCUAUAUUGCGUGUGGUGGUGUUCUCCUGGAUUGAGAUAAAUGAAAGAUUCUCGGUUAAUGAAGUGUUCAAUUUGCGUAAGGUUCAGAGUUGACUAUGAGAUUUUCGUAAGUGCUGCGAGUUAGCAUGUUAGAGACGAUGCACCGUGUGGGGUUAGAAAGUUGUGUGUGCAAGGUAGCAGAUAGUUUCGGAAGGGAAGGAUAUGAGUUCUUGAUGUCACGAACGAUUUUGGGUGUUCAAGGUUUAGCUGGCACUUUGUGUUCCCAUCGAAGUAGAGUUCGCCUGUUGGCAGGUACAUUGUAUUUCGACUUAUGGGUGUUUCUCAAGGAGAUGAUGGAGUAUGAAUUACGUGUCAGCUAUUUGAAUAGCGGUGUUGAGAUUGUGUAUGAAAAUUCUGGUAUUCAUAAGGCUCAGAGACUGACUGUUCUUGUUGGUAGACUAUUCCUUGAUUGCGAGUUGAGAAGAAAUAUAGAGGAUUGGAUGAUUGAUGGUAGGUGUUAUGGAAAGGUUGUUAUAGGCUUUUGGAAGGUUCAUUACAUGUUUGAGGAAGAUCGGAAUUUUGUUUGGGGAUUAUUUUGAUCCUAAUGAGAAUGUGUAUUCUGUAUCAGAACGGACCUAUUUGUUCUUGCGCAGUUGUUACCAUAUGUAUAUCAUCGGGUGGAAUGGAUGUCAUUCGCGCCUUGGUUUAUAUUAUAUGUUUCUCUCUUAUACUAUGGUGGGUUGUGAGGGUUACAUGAUUCUUCGUAUGCAUAUUGUGAUUCAGUUUAGGCCUCAUGGCAUUAUGGGCGAGAUAGCCUUUGUGAUGUUGAUUUGCUUAUUGUACCAUAGUUGUGCUUGUCUUUCUCAGUAUUGUUUGUUCCUAAUGAUUUUUCCCACAGUUAUAUUUUGUGCUCUCUAUUGUGCUUGAUGUUGAUACACAUGUGAUCAGUGAGCCCGGGUAUUAUGGCUCAAAAGGUACCCUAUAUGGAUUGAUGUGAUGGGAUCAGGUUGCACGCCGCAACGGUACAGUGAUGAAAUGUGACUCAUUAUUCCUAUUUUGUGUAUUUUCUUUCAACUUAUUGAAAAUAGUUCAUAGUAAAAUGCUAAAAUUUCCCUGCCUGCUUAACUUGCUAAGUAGUCUUCUUAUUUAGUUUUCUUACUGUUAUCGGUCAUGUCUGAAUUAUUACUUGUUGGUGUAUGGAAUCGGGUUAUGUGUGUCUCCAUAUGAUUAUUGUUGAUGCUUGUCAGUAUGGCUGCUUGUGUUGGCUGAGAUGAGGUUCCUGAGAUUUGCACAAUUGUAUUGGGAUGAGGAAGGUUUGGAAGAAUAACACUUAUAGUUUAUUGAGGAUUUGGACAAUGGCCCUGGUCGGGCGAGUGAGUUUCUUGGCUUAUUGAUCAGAUGAGUGGUUAAGCGGGUAUGCGUGUUUCUUUCAUAAUCAGUAGGGUAUGAAGGUUAUGCAUGUUUCUUUCAUAAUCAGUAGGGUAUGAAGGUUUUGAACGAGGUUCUAAUCGAUAUGAGGUUCGCUACCGACACCGGAUUUGUUUUGGAUUUGGUUUGGGCAGUAAUGGUGGUCAGCAGUUCCUACUGCGAGUGCUGAAGUGAUGGGGUAUAUCAUGUUCUUACAUCUUGUGUUAUGGUUGUGACUUGAUACGGAUUGUUCAGACUUAUACAAUGUGCAUAUGAGGGAUUCAAGUAUCGUAAUGAAUUCUGGAUGAUAGAGAUUGGGUUCUAAGGUUUAAGGACAAGGGUUGAAGUAAGGAUCUCUAGUUAUGUUGUGUUGGCAGGCUUAUAUGGAGCAGGGUGACGUGGAAUCACCCCGGGUUUAUGCUUAGUAAGGUUACACCAUGAUUUGAUAGCUUUGGAACGACUCCUGGCACGUUCGAGGACGAACAUAUGUUUAAGUGGUGAAGGAUGUAACGACCCGACUGGUCGUUUUGAGAAUUUACACAUCAUUCGGUAGUUUACGAGCAUGAGUAGCUCCGUAUAAUGUAUUUGACUUACGUGAAUCGUCGGUUUUGGUUUUCAGGUUAUUCGGGAUUAAUUUGGAAGAAUGAUUCUCAACUAGGGAGCUUUAAAUUUGAAAGAGUUGACCGAGUUUGACUUUUUUGUAUUUGACGUCGGAUUGAAAUUUUGAUAGUUUUGUUAGCUCCGUUGGGUGAUUUUGGAAUUAGGAGCGCGUCCGGAUUGUGAUUUGGAGUUCCGUAGUUGAAUUUGGCUCGAAAUGGCGAAAGUUGGACUUUUUGGAAAGUUUGACCGAGAGUGCACUUUUUGAUAUCGUGGUCAAAUUUCAAUUUCGAAAGUUGGAGAAGGCCCGUAAAUGUCAAAUGUGAGUUGUGUCCAAAAUUUUGAGGGCAAUCGAACGUGAUUUGAUUGGUGUCGGCAUCAGUUGUGUAAGUUUGAAGUUUCAAGUUCAUUGAUUUUUGGAUUGAGGUGUGAUUCGUCGUUUCAAUGUUGUUAUGUGUGUUUUGAGGCCUCGAGUAAGUCCAUGUUAUAUUAUUGGACUUGUGGUAUGUUUGGACGUGGUCCCGUGGGGCUCGGGUGAGUUUCGGAUAGGUUUGGGUUGUGUUGCAUUCGUUCUUUUAUGUUUCGACGUUGUUUGUUUAAGCAUAAAUGGUACUAUAUUAAGCAAAUGGGCUCCAAUUUCUAUUUUUAUUGAAGCAUUAGAUCCGUAUCAUAAUUAAGGUGUCAUAAAAAAAGAAUCAUUGAAUUUGGACAUCGUAUGAAGAGUUUAUGGUUAUUUUACUAAGAAUUGGGUUGCCAGAUUUUUCAGAUUAUUACGAAAUUACCACUGAUUUCGUUUUUAAAAAUCUGCACUAUUUUUAAAUAAUGAAACCAACAUAUCUCCUUUAAUAUAAGGUCAAAUGGAGAGAUUCAAGAGCCUAACUUGCGUAGAAUGUCACAAGGAAUCCAUUGGAGGCAUCAAAAACCAGUGUCGAGAUCAUUUGGCAUAAGAAACGAGGCAAAACAAUAUUAAAACAAGGGUUUUGUUCAUUUAAUAUAUUUUAAGUUGGGGAGCUCGGAAUUGGAAAAUUUUUGAGGUUAUUUUCACCAUAUGAUUUGGGAUAAGUGUUCUCUACUCAGUUUUGGUUAUACUCUAUGAAUCUAUCUUCGAUUUUAGCUUUUGGUUGAUAAAUUUUAAAGAGGAACUUGGGGGUUUUGGCCUAAAGUUUCAUAAUAUGAAUUUUUGAGCUUUGAACAUUGAUUUGGAGUCGGAAUUGAGUGAAACUAGUAUGGUUGAACUCAUAAUUGAAUGGGUUAUCAGAUUUUAUGAGUUUUGUCGGGUUCCAAUAUGUGGACCUGGGUGUAAUCUUUGACCGGAUUUGGGAUUUGAUUUAAGAUUCGAUCUUUAUAAUUUGUAAUUGUUUCCUUGGGCUUUAUUUGAUGUAUUUGAGUUGCUUUUGGCUAGUUUUUAGCCGUUUGGAGGUCACUACGCGCGUGAUGGUAGUUUUGGAGCAUCGCUUGGCUUGCUCACUAUUGUAAUCUGCUUGUUCGAGGUAAGGGUUUUGCCUAACUUUGUUGAGGGAAUUUUUCCUCCUAUUUGUCAUUGUUUGCUACAUGCGAGGGUGAUACAUAUAUGAGGUGACGAGCGUAUAUGUAUGUGCUGGGGUUAAUCAUGCUCGGGGGUAGAUUGUGUUAUAAUUGUGUCUUGUAGGAUUACGUAAAUUCCUUGCUUCAUGCUUCACUUGAUUUACCGAUGUUAAGAACGUAGUAUAAAAUGUUAGUAAUCAAGAAUUAUCCCAAUAUAACUUGAUCGAAUUUGGUAGAAUUCUGAGAAUAUAUUGAUGUGUCUAAUUCGGUCAUCUCUAUGCGAAAUCAUUACUACAUUACUACGGCCCAUAUUCAUGAUAUACUAGACUCUUUGCUUGUGUUAUGGAUCAUUGUGAGAAUUGUAGAAGUAUUUGAAUAAUACGGUUCUCGAGGUUUGUUAAAUCAUUGUUGAUUUGGAAAGAUGUGAUUGGGAUUUCUUUGAAAUAUCUAUUAACACUUUCCUUGAUGUUAUUUGUGCUUCCUGCCUUAUUUUUCAUUGAUACUCAUAUGCUUGGUAAGGAAGAGUGUAAAGAACGAAGGGUGAUGCUGUGCUAUUGUUUAUUCAUUAUCAUGUGAUGGAGAGUGUAAAGCACAAAGGGUGAUGUCGUGCUAUAUCAUUGAGAGUAAAAGCACGAAGGAUGAUGGCGUGCCGUAUUAUUGAGAGUAAAAGCACGAAGGGUGAUGUCGUGCCUCAUUAUUGAGAGUAAAAGCACGAAGGGUGAUGUCGUGCCAUAUCAUUUGAAAGCUAAAGCGCGAAUGGUGAUGCCGUGCAAUUUCAUUUAUAUUGUUAUUCUUGUAUGUUAUCGUGAGGUCAUGGCACGAUGGGUGUUUCCGUGCAGGCGAGGAUGAGGGACAUGCAUUAUGUUUGAUAUUAGUCUUUUGUGUAUAUGUUCUUGUCUUUACCUUGAACUGUUAUUGUCAUAAUUACGGAUCUAAUGUGAUUUACUUCCAUUGUUCUGUCAUGAUCUCCAUCUCAAUUGUUGUUGUUGCUCAUACCUUUUACUUGCUUAACUUGCAAAUACCAUGCCCAUUUCCUGCUUUUAUAAUUAUACUCAUGUUGUAUCUAUUCUGUUGCACCUUAGUGUAAGCCUUCCACCAUGCUAGUUAUUCAUGCCUUUACUUGUUAACUUAUAAAGAAAGAUAUUGUAUUUCCUUCUUGUUUUCUAUAUUUGUACUUAGGCCUCCACUAUGCUAGUUAAUUGAAGUUUAUACCCUUUGUUUUCCUAUUAGUUGUUAUUACUCACGUGCUUUCCGCCUAGUCUUUUACUGUUGCCCACAUGUAUAUCCCCGUCCAUUGUUGUUACUUGCUUAUUUCCUACUUUGUAAUUCUUGUUAUGGUGUUUCUAUCAUCUGGUUGGUUCUGCUAUACAUACAUUUGGGAAGGAUGAGUUGAAUGCACGAAUGGUGUUGCCGUGCUAAUUGAUUUUUCACAUAAAUUUAUUUAUAUAUGGUGAGGAUGAGAUAAAAGUACGAAGGGUGUUACCGUGCCAUUUGAUUUGAUAUCUUGGAUAUACUUCUCAUACCAGGAAGGAUUAUAAAUCUUCUACUAUGAUUCCUGCUAGUAAUUGUUGACUGUCUCGCAGAGUUGUAUACAGUACUUUUAUCUGUUGUGUUUGAAACUGCUUAUACUGUUAGUCUAAUGUACAGGUUAUAACAAUAAGCAUCUUUCAACUAAAAGCCUCGUCGCUACCUCGACGAGGUUAGGCAAAAUACUUACAAGUACAUGGGGUCGAUUGUACUGAUAUCGCACUUCUGCAUGUUCCGUACAAAUUUUGAAGUGGAGCUACUGGUAACGUUGGGUGUUGAUUCGGAAGAUGUUCGUGCAUUUGGUUAUAGCUGUCACUUGUCCUCGGUAGUUUAGAUUAUUGCUAAUCUGUUUAUGUAACCUUCAAAUAGAACGUGCAUUUAUUUGUAUCAGUUUUGAAAUUCCAAAUCUUAGAAGCUCGUGAUUCAUACUACCAGAUCCUAUUAAAUUCGUAAAUGCUCAGUUAUCUAUUCUCUUUUCUCUUAUAACUUCACUUGGGUUGUGUUUUUCUGUUAGUUGUCUUACCUAGCGGGUUGCGUUAGGUGCCAUCACGAUUUGUGAUUUUUGGGUCGUGAUAUCAGAAGGAACAUCACAAAAUCUCACCCAUUUUCGGUUAUCUUACUUG